GCCUGCAACAAAUAUUAAAUAUACAUUACAUAGAUCCUAAAUCAUAAUCUCCAAUAUUAUAUGCUGUGCAUUUCAACUGAUUUAUUUUAUUGAGUUGUCUUCUUACAGUACAUGCAUUAUGCAGGCGUUGUAUAUGUUGAUCCAGAAAGCUAACUUCUGCUUGUAUGUCAGCAGAUUCAGUUCCACAUUGCAGAGUUUCUGCAUCAAAAUUCUAAAAAAAAAAAAAUGAAAUGCGAGUAUGGUCCAAGGUGUUACGUGUGAUUUGGGUGAAAGUUUUGUAAGGACCGAUGUCUCUGAUUGUGUAAUCGGAAUCAAGUAAUGUGGCAUAAGGGUCGAGAUUUGAAGCGUUAUUGUUGAAGAAGAAGGUUGGUGGUGUACAAGUACAAUUGAAGGCUGUUUUAGAGAUGAAGCUUUUUGAAUUCAUACAUGAGAUAUGCUUUGGUACAAUAUCCGAUCCUUCUUCACUGUCGAUCAAUGGCUGAUUCAGUUCCAGAAAUAUUCCUAUUAAACACUUGAUGAGAUCUUCCGACAACUUGUUUGGAUUUUUAGUGAUAUC